AACGAACGCUGGCGGCAGGCUUAACACAUGCAAGUCGAGCGGGCCCUUCGGGGUCAGCGGCAGACGGGUGAGUAACGCGUGGGAAUCUACCCAUCUCUGCGGAACAACUCCGGGAAACUGGAGCUAAUACCGCAUACGCCCUUUUGGGGAAAGAUUUAUCGGGGAUGGAUGAGCCCGCGUUGGAUUAGCUAGUUGGUGGGGUAAAGGCCUACCAAGGCGACGAUCCAUAGCUGGUCUGAGAGGAUGAUCAGCCACAUUGGGACUGAGACACGGCCCAAACUCCUACGGGAGGCAGCAGUGGGGAAUAUUGGACAAUGGGCGCAAGCCUGAUCCAGCCAUGCCGCGUGAGUGAUGAAGGCCUUAGGGUUGUAAAGCUCUUUCACCGAUGAAGAUAAUGACGGUAGUCGGAGAAGAAGCCCCGGCUAACUUCGUGCCAGCCGCCGCCGUAAUAC
rnacentral:rRNA from 1 species